GAGUAUAUCCAACCUCAAAUGGCCACCUUAUAUAAACUGUAAGACUUCCAGUGGAGGGAUGUGGACACCAAUCCACAAAUUUCUGCCUGAAAGAUGAUGUACGGAUAAAGAUGGAACAGGAACCGAGUUAAUGGGUAAACAGCGACUGGCCUAACUUGUGACCAAUGUGUUGUCAGGCUUUAUAGUCCCUGAAAUCCCAUGCUUCUGGAGCUACAUGUGGAAUUGGUAGUCUUGGUACCAGAAACUUUAUGAAACUGCAAGUUUAGAUGGUUAUCCCUGGUGACAGGAGACUUCCAGAGAAAAGAGUUCACAGGCUUGUCCAUGAUGUCCACAAGAAAGGAGCUCAGGAAUCCUGAGGAACAGGAGGAAGAGGGCUUGUUGGGCCAGAGGAGAUGGAGGACACCAGAACAAAAGGGCCUUCUGAAUCUACUAAAGAAGACACAGUUGAGCUCACAGACUCCAAGACAGAAAGACUCAUGUGGGUCCUCAGUAGAUUUCAUAUAAUAAAACUCAACUUGUAAUCAUUC
rnacentral:lncRNA from 1 species